rnacentral:rRNA from 1 species
AGCUCCAAUAGCGUAUAUUAAAGUUGUUGCAGUUAAAAAGCUCGUAGUUGGAUUUCUGUCAUGUCUUUCUUCCCUCCUUGCUAGCCAAGUGUUAGUGUUGGGUUUGAUUGGAUGACAUCUUCGCCCACCAAUUUGCUAGCUGAUGCAUUGAUUUGCAUUGUUAGUAAAUGGGCGUCAUUUACUGUGAAAAAAUUAGAGUGUUCAAAGCAAGUAUUAAUUUCUUGAAUACAUUAGCAUGGAAUAAUAAGAUAGGACUUUGGUAAUAUUUUGUUGGUUUGCAUAUCAAAGUAAUGAUUAAUAGGAACAUAUUGGGGAUAUCCGUAUUUUUUAGUCAGAGGUGAAAUUCUUGGAUUUAAGAAAGACGAACUACAGCGAAAGCAUUUAUCAAGGAUGUUUUCAU